rnacentral:rRNA from 1 species
UACGAAGGGGGCUAGCGUUGCUCGGAAUCACUGGGCGUAAAGCGCACGUAGGCGGCUUUCUAAGUCAGGGGUGAAAUCCUGGAGCUCAACUCCAGAACUGCCUUUGAUACUGGAGAGCUUGAGUCCGGAAGAGGUGAGUGGAACUCCGAGUGUAGAGGUGAAAUUCGUAGAUAUUCGGAAGAACACCAGUGGCGAAGGCGGUUCACUGGUCCGGUACUGACGCUGAGGUGCGAAAGCGUGGGGAGCAAACAGG